rnacentral:lncRNA from 1 species
UGUUAACGGGUCGUGUAAGAAAUUGUUAGGUCUAAUGACCACCUAGAGGAUAGAAGAUGAAUUACUCAUAAAAAUGUGACAACCCGUCCCAAAUUUUAUAAUUUUAUAAAAUUUAAAAUGUGAAAUUAUAAAAAUGUCCUAGAGGCGGAAAGUUUUGACUUUCACUGACCAACGUGUUGUGAGAUGUACUAAAUAUUCUCUUAGCGUAUUCCUGAAGUACUCGACGAUACAAACGCAUAAACGCAUGAAGAAGUGAAUUUGGAGUUACGGUUAAAGUUUCACGUAACUAUAAAUUUGGGAAGUACGUUUUGAAGGAGUCCCAUUUAUUAUUUUAUAUAUUUUCAUAGGUAUUGAUAUAUUGGGGGGAGAAGAGAGACUGGGCAGGAUAGCCCAAUCGGAGAAGGAGGGAGAUAGUUUUAGGAGGAAAAGGAGGGAAGAUGGUGGUGAAUGGAGAGAAAAUAGAGGAUAUGAGGGCCAAUCAGAAAGAAAGGAAAGGAGGGCACGGGAGAGAAGGAGGAAAGAGAGGGAAACCGGGUUUCCCUUGUCGCCACCACCCUUAAACGACUCUAAGACCCUCAUCCCUCUACCAUUUCUAUUUCUGAAUUGAAGGAAAUAGGCUUAGAUUCGUGAUGAUUCUCAUCAAG